rnacentral:rRNA from 1 species
UACGGAGGGAGCAAGCGUUGUCCGGAAUUACUGGGCGUAAAGGGGGCGUAGGCGUCUCAAUAAGUUGGGUGUGAAAUCCUUCGGCUCAACUGAAGAACUGCACUCAAUACUGUUGGGAUUGAGCACGGAAGAGGUGAGCGGAACUCCCAGUGUAGCGGUGAAAUGUGUAGAUAUUGGGAGGAACACCAGUGGCGAAGGCGGCUCUCUGGUCCGUUGCUGACGCUGAGGCCCGAAAGCUGGGGGAGCGAAC